AUUGAACGCUGGCGGCGUGCUUAACACAUGCAAGUCGAGCGGUAACAGGUGUAGCAAUACAUGCUGACGAGCGGCGAACGGGUGAGUAAUGCUUCGGAAUCUUCCUAGUAGUGGGGAAUAACCUGGGGAAACUCAGGCUAAUACCGCAUACGAACUACGGUCGAAAGCAGGGGAUCGCAAGACCUUGCGCUAGUAGAUGAGCCGAAGUCGGAUUGGCUAGUUGGUGAGGUAAAGGCUCACCAAGGCGACGAUCCGUAGCUGGUCUGAGAGGACGACCAGCCACACUGGAACUGAGACACGGUCCAGACUCCUACGGGAGGCAGCAGUGGGGAAUAUUGGACAAUGGGGGCAACCCUGAUCCAGCGACGCCGCGUGUGUGAAGAAGGCCUGCGGGUUGUAAAGCACUUUUAGUGGGGAUGAAAAGCCGAGGGCUAAUACCUUUCGGUCUUGACCUAACCCAAAGAAAAAGCACCGGCUAACUCUGUGCCAGCCGCCGCCGUAA
rnacentral:rRNA from 1 species